CAGUCGCCACGGUAAUACGUAGGGUCCGAGCGUUGUCCGGAAUUAUUGGGCGUAAAGGGCUCGUAGGCGGUUUGUUGCGUCGGGAGUGAAAACCCAGGGCUUAACUUUGGGCUUGCUUUCGAUACGGGCAGACUUGAGGCAUUGAGGGGGGAACGGAAUUCCUGGUGUAGCGGUGAGAUGCGCAGAUAUCAGGAGGAACACCGGUGGCGAAGGCGGUUCUCUGGCAAUGUUCUGACGCUGAGGAGCGAAAGUGUGGGGAGCAAACAGGAUUAGAUACCCCGGUAGUCCCUGUCUCUUAUAC
rnacentral:rRNA from 1 species